UCAAGUGACUAAGCGUAUACGGUGGAUGCCUUGGCAGUCAGAGGCGAUGAAGGACGUUGUAGCCUGCGAAAAGCUUCGGGGAGUCGGCAAACAGACUUUGAUCCGGAGAUGUCCGAAUGGGGAAACCCACCUGGUGUAAGCCAGGUACCUUGCACUGAAUACAUAGGUGUAAGGAGCGAACGAGGGGAACUGAAACAUCUAAGUACCCUUAGGAAAAGAAAUCAAUUGAGAUUCCCCCAGUAGCGGCGAGCGACCGGGGAGUAGCCUGCAAGUGAUAGCAGUUGGGUUAGUGGAACGGUCUGGAAAGUCCGGCGAUAGAGGGUGAUAGCCCCGUACACGAAAACCUGAUUGUGAUACUAAGCUUGCGACAAGUAGGUCGGGACACGAGUUAUCUUGACUGAACAUGGGGGGACCAUCCUCCAAGGCUAAAUACUACUGACUGACCGAUAGUGAACCAGUACCGUGAGGGAAAGGCGAAAAGAACCCCGGAGAGGGGAGUGAAAUAGAACCUGAAACCGUAUACGUACAAGCAGUGGGAGCAGACUUGUUCUGUGACUGCGUACCUUUUGUAUAAUGGGUCAGCGACUUAUUGUCUGUAGCAAGCUUAACCGUUUAGGGGAGGCGUAGGGAAACCGAGUCUUAAUAGGGCGUCAUAGUUGCAGGCAAUAGACCCGAAACCGGGCGAUCUAGCCAUGGGCAGGUUGAAGGUUGAGUAACAUCAACUGGAGGACCGAACUCACGUAUGUUGAAAAAUGCGGGGAUGAGCUGUGGAUCGGAGUGAAAGGCUAAUCAAGCCCGGAGAUAGCUGGUUCUCCUCGAAAGCUAUUUAGGUAGCGCCUCAUGUCUCACCACUGGGGGUAGAGCACUGUUUCGGCUAGGGGGUCAUACCGACCUACCAACCCGUUGCAAACUCCGAAUACCGGUGAGUGCAAUCAUGGGAGACACACGGCGGGUGCUAACGUUCGUCGUGGAGAGGGAAACAACCCAGACCGCCAGCUAAGGUCCCAAAUAUCAGUUAAGUGGGAAACGAUGUGGGAAGGUUUAGACAGCUAGGAGGUUGGCUUAGAAGCAGCCAUCCUUUAAAGAAAGCGUAAUAGCUCACUAGUCGAGUCGGCCUGCGUGGAAGAUAUAACGGGGCUAAAUCAUAAACCGAAGCUACGGAUCUUAAAUUUAUUUAAGAUGGUAGAAGAGCGUUCUGUAAGCGGUUGAAGGUAAGCUGUAAGGCGAACUGGACGUAUCAGAAGUGCGAAUGUUGACAUGAGUAACGAUCAAAGAGGUGAAAAACCUCUUCGCCGAAAAUCCAAGGUUUCCUGUCCAACGCUAAUCGUGGCAGGGUGAGUCGGCUCCUAAGGCGAGGGCGAAAGCCGUAGUCGAUGGAAACAAGGUUAAUAUUCCUUGACUCGAUGGUAGUGACGGAUUUCGUAAAUUGUUAACUCUUAUUGGAUUGAGUUAGCCGUGAAGAAGUCCCAGGAAAUAGCUCCAUCAUAGGACCGUACCCGAAACCGACACAGGUAGAUUAUUAGAGUAUAAUUAGGCGCUUGAGAGAAUGAUGUUGAAGGAACUCGGCAAAAUGCUUCCGUAACUUCGGGAUAAGGAAGACCCUUUUGUAGGCAACUAUGGAAGGGUGGCACAAGCCAGGGAGAAGCGACUGUUUAUCAAAAACACAGGGCUCUGCUAACACGUAAGUGGAUGUAUAGGGUCUGACGCCUGCCCGGUGCUGGAAGGUUAAUGCGGUUGGUGCAAGCUAACUUUUGAAGCCCCAGUAAACGGCGGCCGUAACUAUAACGGUCCUAAGGUAGCGAAAUUCCUUGUCGGGUAAGUUCCGACCUGCAUGAAUGGCGUAACGAUUUCUCCGCUGUCUCCAACAUCAACUCAGUGAAAUUGAAUUCUCCGUGAAGAUGCGGAGUUCGCGUAGUUAGACGGAAAGACCCCGUGCACCUUUACUGCAACUUUACAUUGGUGUUAGGAAAAACAUAUUUAGCAUAGGAGGGAGACUUUGAAGCAAAAGCGUCAGCUUUUGUGGAGUCACCAGUGAAA
rnacentral:rRNA from 1 species